rnacentral:rRNA from 1 species
CGUAUAUUUAAGUUGCUGCAGUUAAAAAGCUCGUAGUUGGAUUUCGGGUGGGGCCUGCCGGUCCGCCGUUUCGGUGUGCACUGGCAGGGCCCACCUUGUUGUCGGGGACGGGCUCCUGGGCUUCACUGUCCGGGACUCGGAGUCGACGCUGUUACUUUGAGUAAAUUAGAGUGUUCAAAGCAGGCCUACGCUCUGAAUACAUUAGCAUGGAAUAACACGAUAGGACUCUGGCCUAUCCUGUUGGUCUGUAGGACCGGAGUAAUGAUUAAGAGGGACAGUCGGGGG